GGGGCUAUAGCUCAGCGGCAGAGUGUUUGUCUAGCAUGCAAAAGGCCCUGGGUUCAAUCUCCAGCACUGCUG
rnacentral:tRNA from 1 species